rnacentral:rRNA from 1 species
UUUCCGGUUGAUCCCGCCGGACCUGACUGCUAUCGGAUUGAUACUAAGUCAUGCGAGUCUUUGUAGUAAUACAAGGCAUACGGCUCAGUAACGCGUAGUCAACCUACCCUAUGGACAAGAAUAAUCUCGGGAAACUGAGCAUAAUUCUUGAUAGAUCAUAAUGCCUGGAAUGGUUUAUGGUUAAAAUGAUUCGUCGCCAUAGGAUGGGACUGCGGCCUAUCAGCUUGUUGGUGAGGUAAUGGCCCACCAAGGCGAUAACUGGUACGGGCUCUGAGAGGAGAAGCCCGGAGAUGGGUACUGAGACAAGGACCCAGGCCCUAUGGGGCGCAGCAGGCGAGAAACCUUUGCAAUGUGCGAAAGCACGACAAGGUUAGUCCGAGUGAUUUCUGCUAAAGAGAUCUUUUGCUAGUUAUAAAACCACUAGUGAAUAAGGGGUGGGCAAGUUCUGGUGUCAGCCGCCGCGGUAAAACCAGCACCUCAAGUGGUCAGGAUGAUUAUUGGGCCUAAAGCAUCCGUAGCCGGCUCUGUAAGUUUUCGGUUAAAUCUAUGCGCUCAACGUAUGGGCUGCCGAAAAUACUGCAGAGAUAGGGAGUGGGAGAGGUAGACGGUACUCGGUAGGAAGGGGUAAAAUCCCUUGAUCUAUCGAUGACCACCUGUGGCGAAGGCGGUCUACCAGAACACGUUCGACGGUGAGGGAUGAAAGCUGGGGGAGCAAACCGGAUUAGAUACCCGGGUAGUCCCAGCUGUAAACGAUGCAGACUCGAUGAUGCAUUGGCAUAUAGCCAAUGCAGUGUCGCAGGGAAGCCGUUAAGUCUGCCGCCUGGGAAGUACGUACGCAAGUAUAAAACUUAAAGGAAUUGGCGGGGGAGCACCAC